UUUAGAGGAAGUAAAAGUCGUAACAAGGUUUCCGUAGGUGAACCUGCGGAAGGAUCAUUAGUGAAUCUUCAAAAGUCGGCUCUGUGGAUUGUGCUGGUGGAGACACAUGUGCACGUCCGCAAGGUCGCAAACCCCACACACCUGUGCAUCUAUGACUCUGAGUGCCGCUUUGCAUGGCCUUGACCGGCCUGGCGCUCGAGUACUUUCACACACUCUUGAAUGUAACGGAAUGUCUUGUUGUGCAUAACGUACAGACAGAAACAACUUUCAACAACGGAUCUCUUGGCUCUCGCAUCGAUGGAGAACGCAGCGAAAUGCGAUAAGUAAUGUGAAUUGCAGAAUUCAGUGAAUCAUCGAAUCUUUGAACGCACCUUGCACCCUUUGGUAUUCCGAAGGGUACGCCCGUUUGAGUGUCAUUGUAAUCUCACUACCAUUGACUUUGGUCUUUUGGUAUGUGGACUUGGAUGUUGCCGUCGAUGUCUACGGCUCGUCUGAAAUGCUUCAGUGUACCCCGCUUUGCGGCGUAUUCGGUGUGAUACAUCUUCACCGGAGUUGAUCCUUUUGGGGGUCGCGUCUGUAAUGUGUGGCUCUAUGCUUCCAACCGUCUCUCGAGACAAUCUCUGACAAUUUGACCUCAAAUCGGGUGGGACUACCCGCUGAACUUAAGCAUAUCAAUAAGCGGAGGAAAAGAAACUAACAAGGAUUCCCCUAGUAACGGCGAGUGAAGAGGGAAAAGCUCAAAUUUUGAAUCUGGUGUCUUUGACUCCCGAGUUGUAAUCUAGAGAAGUGUUUUCCGUGUCGGACCGUGCACAAGUUCCCUGGAACGGGGCGUCAUAGAGGGUGAGAAUCCCGUAUAUGGCACGGACUGCCGAUGCUUUUGUGAUACACUCUCAACGAGUCGAGUUGUUUGGGAAUGCAGCUCAAAAUGGGUGGUAAAUUCCAUCUAAAGCUAAAUAUUGGCGAGAGACCGAUAGCGAACAAGUACCGUGAGGGAAAGAUGAAAAGCACUUUGGAAAGAGAGUGAAACAGUACGUGAAAUUGUUGAAAGGGAAGCGUUUGAAGUCAGUCGUAUCUGGCGGGAUUCAGCUGGGCUUUUGCCCGGUGUACUUCUCGUCCGAUGGGUCAGCAUCAAUUUCGACCGGGGGAAAAAGAUGUGGGGAAUGUGGCUGUCUUCGGGCAGUGUUAUAGCCCCAUGUUGUAUGCCUCGGUUGGGAUUGAGGAACGCAGCGCGCCUAUAGGCCAGGGGCUACCCGCCUCUUGACACGCGCUUAGGAUGCUGGCAUAAUGGCUUUAAGCGACCCGUCUUG
rnacentral:rRNA from 1 species